UUGACGUUAGCGACAGAAGAAGCACCGGCUAACUCCGUGCCAGCAGCCGCGGUAAUACGGAGGGUGCGAGCGUUAAUCGGAAUUACUGGGCGUAAAGCGCAUGCAGGUGGUUUGUUAAGUCAGAUGUGAAAGCCCGGGGCUCAACCUCGGAAUAGCAUUUGAAACUGGCAGACUAGAGUACUGUAGAGGGGGGUAGAAUUUCAGGUGUAGCGGUGAAAUGCGUAGAGAUCUGAAGGAAUACCGGUGGCGAAGGCGGCCCCCUGGACAGAUACUGACACUCAGAUGCGAAAGCGUGGGGAGCAAACAGGAUUAGAUACCCUGGUAGUCCACCACGCCGUAAACGAUGUCUACUUGGAGGUUGUGGCCUUGAGCCGUGGCUUUCGGAGCUAACGCGUUAAGUAGACCGCCUGGGGAGUACGGUCGCAAGAUUAAAACUCAAAUGAAUUGACGGGGGCCCGCACAAGCGGUGGAGCAUGUGGUUUAAUUCGAUGCAACGCGAAGAACCUUACCUACUCUUGACAUCCAGAGAACUUUCCAGAGAUGGAUUGGUGCCUUCGGGAACUCUGAGACAGGUGCUGCAUGGCUGUCGUCAGCUCGUGUUGUGAAAUGUUGGGUUAAGUCCCGCAACGAGCGCAACCCUUAUCCUUGUUUGCCAGCGAGUAAUGUCGGGAACUCCAGGGAGACUGCCGGUGAUAAACUUGAGGAAGGUGGGGACGACGUCAAGUCAUCAUGGCCCUUACGAGUAGGGCUACACACGUGCUACAAUGGCGCAUACAGAGGGCGGCCAACUUGCGAGAGUGAGCGAAUCCCAAAAAGUGCGUCGUAGUCCGGAUUGGAGUCUGCAACUCGACUCCAUGAAGUCGGAAUCGCUAGUAAUCGUGGAUCAGAAUGCCACGGUGAAUACGUUCCCGGGCCUUGUACACACCGCCCGUCACACCAUGGGAGUGGGCUGCAAAAGAAGUAGGUAGUUUAUACUUCGGGGGGACGCCUAGCGCAGAUG
rnacentral:rRNA from 1 species